rnacentral:rRNA from 1 species
CCCUUAGAUGUUCGGGGCCGCACGCGCGCUACACUGAAGGAAUCAGCACGUCUUUCUCCUUGUCCGAAAGGACUGGGUAACCCGCUGAACCUCCUUCGUGCUAGGGAUUGGGGCUUGUAAUUCUUCCCCAUGAACGAGGAAUUCCCAGUAAGCGCGAGUCAUAAGCUCGCGUUGAUUACGUCCCUGCCCUUUGUACACACCGCCCGUCGCUACUACCGAGUGGAUGGUUUAGUGAGAUCCUCGGAUUGGUCCCGGCGCGGCCUCUGGUCGUGCCGGAGUGCCGAAAAGAAUGUCGAACUUGAUCAUCUAGAGGAAGUAAAAGUCGUAACA